UACGGAGGGUGCAAGCGUUGUUCGGAUUUAUUGGGCGUAAAGCGAGUGUAGGCGGUUUGAAAAGUCGGGUGUGAAAUCCCAGGGCCCAACCCUGGAACUGCAUCCGAUACUAUCAGGCUAGAGUUCCGGAGAGGGUGGCGGAAUUCCCGGUGUAGGGGUGAAAUCCGUAGAUAUCGGGAGGAACACCAGUGGCGAAGGCGGCCACCUGGACGGUGACUGACGCUGAGACUCGAAAGUGUGGGUAGCAAAC
rnacentral:rRNA from 1 species